rnacentral:lncRNA from 1 species
GAUGGUUUUGUUUUACUCGAUGAGUUUCUUCAGUGGAACCUGACGACAGUAGUGGUGGCGGUCUGUAUUGACUCGGGCCAACAGUGGACGAAUCUCGAGUCCACUCAGUCAGAUUCUUGAUUCGGGAUUGUUUUAUGCGCGGUUCAGGCUCGGUGGAAUCUCGGUUCAGCUGGUUCAGUUGCGGGUCAAAUCCAGUAGGGUAUGGUUGAUCAACUUAG